rnacentral:rRNA from 1 species
UACGUAGGGGGCAAGCGUUGUUCGGAAUUACUGGGCGUAAAGGGCUCGUAGGCGGCCAACUAAGUCAGACGUGAAAUCCCUCGGCUUAACCGGGGAACUGCGUCUGAUACUGGAUGGCUAGAGUUUGGGAGAGGGAUGCGGAAUUCCAGGUGUAGCGGUGAAAUGCGUAGAUAUCUGGAGGAACACCGGUGGCGAAGGCGGCAUCCUGGACCAACACUGACGCUGAGGAGCGAAAGCCAGGGGAGCAAACGGGG